rnacentral:rRNA from 1 species
AUACGGAAGGUCCGGGCGUUAUCCGGAUUUAUUGGGUUUAAAGGGAGCGCAGGCGGAGAUGCAAGCGUGACGUCAAAUUUCGGGGCUCAACCCCGUCUCGCGUCGCGAACUGCGUCCCUUGGUUGCGGGAAGGGGAGGCGGAACUCGUGGUGUAGCGGUGAAAUGCAUAGAUAUCACGAAGAACUCCGAUCGUGAAGGCAGCCUUCCGGCCCGUCAACGACGCUCAUGCUCGAAGGUGCGGGUAUCAAACAGGAUUAGAUACCCUGGUAGUCCGCACAGUAAACGAUGGACACCCGCGGUUUGGCCUGUAUGGCUGAGCCGCCAAGCGAAAGCGUUAAGUGUCCCACCUGGGGAGUACGCCGGCAACGGUGAAACUCAAAUGAAUUGACGGGG